rnacentral:tRNA from 1 species
AUCUAGAUAGUUUAAUUUUAAAAUAUAAGUUUGUGGUACUUAGGACGUGAGUUUUUAUCUCAUUUUAGAUC